UCUCAUGCUUUCCCUGGGUCUUCACGGAU
rnacentral:piRNA from 1 species